rnacentral:rRNA from 1 species
UACGGAGGAUGCAAGCGUUAUCCGGAAUGAUUGGGCGUAAAGCGUCCGCAGGUGGCUAUGUAAGUCUGCUGUUAAAGAGUCUAGCUCAACUAGAUAAGAGCAGUGGAAACUACAAGGCUAGAGUACGUUCGGGGCAGAGGGAAUUCCUGGUGUAGCGGUGAAAUGCGCAGAUAUCGGGAAGAACACCCGUGGCGAAGGCGGCUCUCUGGGACGGUACUGACGCUGAGACGCGAAAGCGUGGGGAGCGAACAGG